rnacentral:lncRNA from 1 species
AAACCCUAAUAUACACGCGACCUCGGUGUGUUUUGUAAUUUAAAGCUAAGGAAGAUCUUGUAAAGGCAUACCAACCCCAUAUUAGCAAAAAGUCGUGUGUAUCUAGAGAUACACUAGGAAAAAUGUGUGCAUUCAUGAAAUUUUGGUAAGAUUCUUGGAAUUUUGGCAGAUUCAUAGAUUUUUUGGUGAGAUCCAUGGAGUUUCGGCCAGAUCCAUAAAUUUUUCGACAAGAUUCAUGGAUUUUUCGGCGAGACCCAUAGAAUUCCAUCAGAUUCAUGAAUUUUUCGAUGAAAUUCAUGGAAUUUUGGCCAGAUUCAUAAAUUUUUCACUGAGAUUCAUGAAAUUUCGGCCAGGUCUAUGGAUUUUCCAGCGAGUACUAUGAAAUUUUUGUUAGAUUCAUGGAUUUUUCAAUGAGAUUAAUGAAAUUUUGGUGAGAUCUAUGAAACUCCGGCAACAAUGAUGGUCUCUAACCAUGUAUCCUACCCAAUUAAUGUGUGUUUGUAUAUCUCAGUCUUAAAAGACAUAGUAUUAGAUACACAUCUCAGACACAUGCAAGUCUGUGUAUGUGAAAUACACGCGGCCCGA